UACAGAGGCCUCGAGCGUUAGGCGGAAUCACUGGGCUUAAAGCGUGUGUAGGCGGGUCGUUAAGUGCCUUGUGAAAUCCCAUGGCUCAACCAUGGAACUGCUUGGCAUACUGGCGAUCUUGAGCUACCUAAGGGCAACUGGAACAGACGGUGGAGCGGUGAAAUGCGUAGAUAUCGUCUGGAACGCCAAUGGUGAAGACAGGUUGCUGGGGGUAUGCUGACGCUGAGACACGAAAGCCAGGGGAGCAAACGGG
rnacentral:rRNA from 1 species